rnacentral:rRNA from 1 species
AACGAACGCUGGCGGCAGGUCUUAGGCAUGCAAGUCGAACGGGUGUAGCAAUACAUCAGUGGCGCACGGGUGAGUAACGCGUGGGAAUAUGCCCUUUGCUGUGGAAUAACGUUUGGAAACGAACGCUAAUACCGACAUAAGCCGGAAACGGGAAAGAUUUAUCGGCAAAGGAUUAGCCCGCGUUGGAUUAGCUUGUUGGUGGGGUAACGGCCUACCAAGGCGAUGAUCCAUAGCUGGUCUGAGAGGACGAUCAGCCACACUGGAACUGAGACACGGUCCAGACUCCUACGGGAGGCAGCAGCUAAGAAUAUUGGACAAUGGGGGAAACCCUGAUCCAGCCAUGCCGCGUGAGUGAAGAAGGCCUUCGGUUGUAAGCUCUUUAGUCGUGAAGAUGAUGACGGUAGCGACAGAAAAGACACCGGCUAACUUCGUG